CCUGAUCCAGCCCUAACUAUAAGCAUUAUCAAAGAGGAAUGUCUUAAGCCUACUCUUGAAUGUGGUGAGGGUGUCUGCCUCCCGAACCACAACUGGAAGCUGGUUCCACAGGAGAGGAGCUUGGUAACUGAAGGCUCUGGCUCCUGUUGUACUUUUAGAGACUAUAGGAACCACAAGUAGCCCAGCAUUCAGAGAACGUAGUGUUCUAGAGGGGUAAUAGGGUACUAUGAGCUCUUUAAGAUAUGAAGGGGCCUGACCAUGAAGAGCUUUAUAGGUGAGGAGGAGGAUUUUAACUUCUAUUCUACAUCUUACAGGGAGCCAGUGCAGAGAAGCUAGUACAGGAGAGAUGUGAUCUCUUUUUCUAGUUCCUGUCAGUACUCGUGCUGCAGCGUUCUGAAUUAAUUGGAGUGUCUUAAUGGACUUAUUGGGGCAACCUGAUAAUAAAGAGUUGCAGUAAUCCAGCCUUGAAGUAACAAAUGCAUGGAUUAGUUUUUCUGCGUCUGUCUGUGAUAGUAUGUGUCUAAUUUUUGUAAUAUUACGUAAAUGAAAGAAGGCAGUCCUAGAGGUCUGCUUCAUGUGGGAGUUAAAAGACAAAUCCUGAUCAAAGAUAACUCCAAGAUUCCUGACAGUGGUGCUAGAGGCCAAGGUAAUGCCAUCUAGAGUAACUAUAUCUUUAGACAGCGAGUCUCUAAGGUUUUUGGGGCCAAGAACAAGAAUUUCAUUUUUUUCCUGAGUUUAACAUCAGAAAAUUGCAGCUCAUCCAGGAUUUUAUGUCCUUAAGACAUGUUUGUCAUUUAGAUAAUAUAUAGAUAGAUAAUUUAUUUCAUUGCUUGAUCCAUAGAUAUAACUGCGUAUCAUCUGCAUAACAGUGAAAGUUAAUGGAGUGAUUCCUAAUAAUGUUGCCUAAAGGGAGCAUAUAUAGAGUAAAUAGUAUUGGUCCAAGUACAGAACCUUGUGGAACUCCACGACUAACUGUAGUAUUUAUUGAAGAUUCAUCGUUAACAUGUACAAACUGCGAACGAUCUGAUAAAUAUGACUUAAACCAGCUUAUUGCGGUUCCUUUAAUGCCAAUUUGAUGCUUAAAUCUCUGUAAAAGAAUAUUAUGGUCAAUGGUGUCAAAUGCAGCACUAAGAUCUAAUAAUACAAGUACAGAGACAAGUCCAUUGUCAGAAGCAAUCAGAAGGUCAUUAUUAACUUUAACCAGAGCUGUCUCUGUGCUGUGAUGAACUCUAAAUCCUGACUGAAAAUCCUCAAAUAAACUAUUGUUAUGUAGAAAGUCACAACUCUUUGGCGAGAUUCUCCAGAAUCUUAGAGAGGAAGGGGAGGUUAGAGAUUGGUCUAUAGUUAGCUAAAACGCCUGGGUCAAGAGUGGGCUUUUUAAGAAGGGGUUUAAUUACAGCUACUUUAAAGGACUGUGGUACACAUCCUGAUCAUAAAGAGAUAUUAAUCAUAUCCAGUAAAGAAGUGUCAAUUAAAGGGGACAUUAUGCAAAACCAACUUUUUAAUCAUUUGAUUAUGUACAUUUGGGAAUCUGGAGGGCCUAUCAGCAGGCAAAGUGUGAAAAAAAAUGACUCAGUCAUGUUUUUGUGGGCUGCCUCAGUCAGAAGAAUACAGGAGAGAAAUCACGAAGCUUCAGAAGUGUGUGUACCUGUUGCCACCCACCUCUCUUUACUUCCUGUUGACUAUCGGAGCUCCGCCAUUGCCAGUCUGUGGAGAGAAGGCAGAGGAAGAAACUAAGUAUUUUUAAGAGUUUAUGCUGUUUUUUAUUGUUCGUGUAAUGCUAGCUCAUGCUAACCGCUGUUAGCUGCAGGGGCCUCAGUGAUGCUAACGUAGUUAUUGUUUGUUAAUUGUUAAAAGAUGAACAUGAAACUUAUAAAGUGAAGUUAAUUUAUUAAGCCAGCUGGUGCAGAUGUCUCCAUAUUCUCCCCUGCUGAUAUUUUUAUAGAGAUUCACACGAAGUUUAAGCCGUGAAUCACCAAGCUUCGUGCGGGGGGGGGCUCUGUAACUCUGUUACUGUUGUGGGUUUUGUGACCGGGGGUAAUUGGCUUUAUGUUGGUCUGUAUUUAGUUAAACGUGCUCCGUCAGUAAUAUGUUUGUGUCGCUGUUAGAAAGAGCAGAAAACCUCAGAGUGAACAAACUGUAGCCGCUCAUCAGCUGUUAGCUCCUUGAGCUGCAUGGAACCGGUAAGAUAACGUUAGAUAGCUUUAAUUGUCUUUAACCUGGUAACUUAUUAUCUGCUGGGUAGCUAGGUAUCUGUUCACCGUGUGGAUCAAUACAGCUGUGAUCAGGAGACACCGUACUGUGUGUAAUUCAGCAGCGGAGGUCAUUUGUUUGGUAGCAUUGUAGCUUUGAUUAGCACACAGCAGCUCUGUGAUGUCACUGUGUUACUUUGGUUACUGAGUCUGUUGGACUUUAUGUUGUAAUAUGAGGGGCAGUGUGAUCGAUAACCCUCGUUAACCGUUAAUUAGGUUGGAGCCUGGUGGUUGUUUUCAUGUUGCUUCUUGUGUAACUUUAUACUGACGUGCUAACGUUAUCUCAGCUAGCGCUAGCUUUGUUGUUUCUCUGCUUCGUUCAGGUGUGUGUGUGUUACGGUGUGUAAAUUAACUUGAUCAACGUGCACCAGAGUUAACAAUAGAGCUACAGUGAGAGAGAAAUAGUCAAACUGCAGGGAUUCAUUAGUUUAGUAUUAUUCUGUAACUUUGAUUAGCACCCAGCAGCUGGGGUUGCUCACUAGGCUUUAUGUGGAGUCAAACCGACGAAUAAAAGUUUUCUGAUCCAUUUAUUUAGCGUUACUGAAGUACUGCUAUUACUGACGAUAUAAGUGUAGGUCCAGUGUAACAUCCUAUACUCAUAAUCUCCUAUUGUAUUAUAAACACUGAGGCUCACUGCUAAAUUUCUGUUAUUGCACCGGGAACUUGUUACAACAUCAGUUACAGUCAGUAAAUGUCCUGUGUGUGUAUCUGCUGCCAUUAGAUAGACAUUGUGUUGGUAACCUCAGACUGUUUCAACAACACAUCACUACAGUUAGCUGCAACAAGGAACCACCAGAGACACUGCUUUAUUAUUUUAGAUUAUAACUUAGGUGACCUGAUGAAGCUCAGGUGUUCCUGGACCCAUCAGAGGACAGAGACAGCUGCAGCAUCAGGACAGUCUGGGUAUCCAAAGGAAGACUCAUGAAGAUGAACACUGACUGCAGAGCUCCAUUACCAGCUCACACUUCAGUAUACUAGAAACCAUAAACCUUGAUGUAGGACAGGAUCUGCACAGUUUACAUAAAAGUUAUAGCUUUGUUACUUACAACAUGUGUAACUGGAAUAUGAAUGAAAUAUAAAUAAAGUGUUUUACUUUUAAGAA